rnacentral:rRNA from 1 species
GACGAACGCUGGCGGCGUGCCUAAUACAUGCAAGUUGAGCGAUGAAGAUUGGUGCUUGCACCAAUUUGAAGAGCAGCGAACGGGUGAGUAACGCGUGGGGAAUCUGCCUUUGAGCGGGGGACAACAUUUGGAAACGAAUGCUAAUACCGCAUAACAACUUUAAACAUAAGUUUUAAGUAUGAAAGAUGCAAUUGCAUCACUCAAAGAUGAUCCCGCGUUGUAUUAGCUAGUUGGUGAGGUAAAGGCUCACCAAGGCGAUGAUACAUAGCCGACCUGAGAGGGUGAUCGGCCACAUUGGGACUGAGACACGGCCCAAACUCCUACGGGAGGCAGCAGUAGGGAAUCUUCGGCAAUGGACGAAAGUCUGACCGAGCAACGCCGCGUGAGUGAAGAAGGUUUUCGGAUCGUAAAACUCUGUUGGUAGAGAAGAACGUUGGUGAGAGUGGAAAGCUCAUCAAGUGACGGUAACUACCCAGAAAGGGACGGCUAACUACGUG